GUAGAAAGCGUGCUUCAAUGGCAUUCCAGUGACUGAUGUAAAGAAGCUAGUGUCAGUCCUGAGGACGGUAUAGAAAUGGCUUUAUAUUCUUUAUUUCGAUCUGUCAGGACAGAAGUAGUCAAGGCAGAAAGCUGGCUGCAUGAACAAGCCAAAAAAGAGGGCUGAUUGGUGUCCUUUUGGGUGACAAUGCAGCUGUCAUGGUUGAGGUGAACUGUGAGACAGAUUUUGUGGCGAGAAAUGAGAAAUUUCAGCAGUUGGUGAAGGAUGUUGCUUUGUAUGUAAUGGCUCAUAACAGCAGCAAAAAACAGAAUGGGUAUAUUAAAGGAACACUCCACUUUUUUUUGGAAAUAGGCUCAUUCUCCAACUCCCCCAGAGUUAAUAAGUUGAGUUUUACCGUUUUGGUUUUCAUUCUCAAAGCUGAACUCAUUCAUGUGAUCCUUAUUAUAAUGGCCUACAGAAUUACAGAUAUGAAAAUAUUACAGAAGUAGCCAAAACAAUUAUUUUGUGUAACAUUAAACAUAUCUACUUCCGAGUAGAAAAAAAAUGAAAACAGUAUUUAAGAAUAACUUGAGUUUUUAUCUUAACAUUUGUUGCCUGUAAAUGAUUUUUUUUUUUUCAACUCGUCCCCAAAAGUGCCGUACUAACAUAUACAUACCUGAAUGUAAAUAGAACUAAAUGUUCAUUACAGCAAGCAAUAAAAUCAUAUGUCAGAAAUACCAGCCUACUUAUAAAAUCAUUUCUCCAGCUGACACAGCUCGGUCGAGUCACUGCAGGCUGUUUAUCUUUGUUAAUACAGUCAGUGGCCAGCCGUGUUGAGGGUAAUGCAUUACAUGUAAUGUGAAUUACGUAAUCUGAUUACUUUUUCAAGUAAACUAGUAAAGUAACUAGUAAAUUAACUAAAUUUACGUUUUAAUUUACAUGAAAAUAUCUGAGUUACUUUUUCAAAUAAGGUCAAUUACUUUGUUUUCCCAUUUAUUGACUGACAGCUCUCUUGUCCCCAUGUUGAGAGAAAUCAGGAGUAAGUACAGAGCACUCAUUGUGUGUCCCUUGUAUAGUUAGUUCUUGGCUAAAUAUGAACAUGCAUUUACUGAUCUCACUUUCACAAAAACAGAUUCAGUAUUCCUCCAAAUAAAUAAAGAACAGUGAAAUGCAAAAUCAGAAUAUGAUGCAAAUCUGCAAUAAUUAAAUGGUAAAUAACUAAAAUAUCCUUUAUGUAUUUAAUCCCAUUUUACUAACCAAUGUCUUUGCUUCUGAGCUUCGAUUAUCAAAUUUAAUCAUACUAAUAAGAAAAAAUUCCUUUAGAUAAACUAACAUUUGUGCUUCUUUUCUAUUGCUGAAGAGUGUUGAACUUUCUUCUCCUGCAUUUUGCUGUAGAGAGAUGAAUUUACUUUUUCUUCAGCCUGAGGCUUAUUCAUUUCACUUUUUAGAGCGAAAGGGCUUUUUCAUUUGCCAAAAAUAAACUUUUUAUAUUAAAAACAAACAAGCAAACCCAGCCCAGAUUUGAAAAGUAAUGCAAAAGUAAUAUAAUGCAUUACAUUCCAUAAAUUGUGGGAAAAAAUUAAUGGUACAUCCCUCCAUCAAGAUCUAGAUGAGCGGAGGUCCUAAAGAAUGGGGAUGGAUUAGGGACAGUGUUGCCAGAUAGGAUGGACGAUUUCCAGCCCAAAAGCUCACAAAAACCGCCCAACACUUUAACGGUCAAAAUAAUGUGAUAGAAUGUAAAUCAAGGUUGAUAAGAAACAUUUUUAACUCCUUAUAACGAAAUAAUGACGACAAAAUAAUAUAAAUAUAAUGCUAGAUAAAUUUCCCAUGGAUCAAAUCGGGGCAAAUACAUUAAAGAGAACUACCAAAUAUGAUUAAAACAUGCAAGCAGACGCUAUCAAAACGGCAAUCAAGAAAUUAACCGAUACCCUCAAAAAGCACAUGCAUCAUUUUCAUUGUCAACAUUCAGAAUUUAAAUGCAAAAAAGUGCCCAAUAUAAGUGAUCAGAAUAAGCAACGUAAUUAUAGGUAUUUCACACUGGUUCAUGCACACACCAUGACAGUCAAAACUGUGUCAUUCUGUAUGAUAAUCUGACAAUAAAAAAAAUUAACAACAACAAUAAUGCUCUUACCUUCGUGUCGCUCUACAAUUUCACACAGAACUAAUCUUUCGUGAAGUUCAUAUUGAACAUAAUAUAGAACUUUGCACAGUCAAAACUAACAAGUCCAGUAUCUUUAAAGGAUAUCCUACCAAUCUGGACCGUUUAAAAGAUAAAAAGACAGGAUUGUAUAGAAUAGAUUUUGAAUAAAUAAUUUAACUGUGCUCUGAUUUCAGAGUUGCAGUGAUAUAGCCUUCAUGUCAUCUCCCUCAACAGGUGUAAUUCACGUUUUGAGAGUUAAAACACUCUCCACUCUUUACCAUCAAACUUAUAUUUAGGCAUUAUGAUCACUUACAGUUCAAAAUUAGAUCCGUUAUCGCGCUAAAAACCAGUCACCCAGGAAUCAUCACGUCUGUCUGCUGAUCCCUAUAGUGAUUGGCCACGACAUCAACAUCAGCUCCAGAUAUUGUGCGCGUGUGUUCAGUAAUGUUGUGAUGACUGAUUGGAUGCAUGCAGUAUCUAUAUGCACACUUGGGCUUGUUUGUUAACCAAUAGGCUCUGUGCACAAGCGUAGCGACGAACUUCCGCUAUCGCCAGAAGUCGGGAUAUCAGUUUCCGGUUUUCAUUCGCGUCGCCCAAAAUGUCAGUAUUUACUAGAUGUCUCCGAGAUCUGCCAAGCAGAAUCAGCGAUGUCCAUCACAUCGUUAAUGCCUGCUCUCCUGCUCCAAUACACAAACGAAACAAGGGAUUCAAACGCAAUAUAUCGAGUUAUAUGCACAAAUAGUUUAAUGUACGUGUUAUUUCAGCAUCUAGCGGCUAGCGACAUGUUAAUUUUAGAAGCUUUUAGAAGCACCCUCUGUUUUGAUGUUUGUUGCUUCAUGCCAUUAAACUGGUAUUAACUUGUAUUUGUCUCUUUUCACCUCAGACCUGAUGGCACUGAAAGAGGAGAGUCAAGAACUGAAUGAAACAGAAGAGAAAGAUCAGAAUGAGGAACAUUAUGAUUUCAAAACUGAAGAAAAAUCAAUAAGUUGCUCACAGACUUGAAAAGACUUCCUCACCAAAAAAAGCUAAAAAAAAAAAAACUUAAUUCCCAAAUGAGAAUUCAUACUGGAGAGAGACCUUACACCUGCCAACAGUGCGGAGAAAUGUUCAAUCAAAAAGGAUUCCUUAAAGUCCACAUGAAAAUUCACAUUGAAAAGAACCACUGGAGAGAGACCUUACACCUGCUCUCAGUGUGGAAACAGUUUUACACGGAAAAGUCAUCUUAAAGCCCACAUGAGUAUUCACUCUGGAGAGAAACCUUACACCUGCAAACUGUGUGAGAAGAGUUUCACACAAAAUGGAAAUCUUACGUCUCACAUGAUAAUUCACAUUGAAAAGAAGUCAUUAAUAUGCUCUCAGUGUGGAAAGAGUUUCAGGCACAAAGGAACACUAAAGACUCACAUAAGAAGUCACACCGGAGAGAAUCCAUUCUCAUGUGAUCAGUGUGGAAAGAGUUACAGAUAUAAAGAAAACCUUAAUAAUCACAUGAAGACUCACUCAAGAGUGAAGAGUUUUAAAUGUCAUCAGUGCAAAAGGAGUUUCGCAGACAGGAAACAUCUUAAGAAUCAUGUUAAAAUUCACAUCGGAGAAAAGCCUUUCAUGUGCCAUCACUGUGGGAAGAGUUGCUCAAAAGAAAGAAGCCUCCAGGUUCACUUGAGAAUUCACACUGAAGAGAAACCUUUCACCUGUGAACCGUGUGGAAAGAGUUUCACAAGUCAAAGCAACAUGACACGUCAUUUGAAAACUCAUUCUGGGAAGAAAUUGCCAUUUUCCUCAGAGUGACAAGGUUUAGAUAAAGGAGUAAUUUCUACAAUCAUCUGGAAAACAUUCAAUUGUAGUCAAUGUAUUAAAAACAUUUUUUGCCAUCACACUUACAGAUCACCCUGCUGAAAAAUCCAGCAUAAACCAGCAUGGAUUCCAAGCUGCUCCAUGCUGCUUUAUGCUGGUAAGUGCUGGUCCAAGCUGGUUGAUGCUGCUUAGUGCUGGUCCUCUCGUAUUGGACUGUUCAGCCACAGCAGGCACUGCAAUUCCACAACAGAUUGACCCGGGCGCAGAUACUCCAUUGUCUCCCGAGACAGAAUGAUGCCAAUAUUAAUCAGUGUCACUGGUAAACUGGUAAAACAUUUCAAAGCAUCAAAGGAAUUGUCUCCUGUUUCAGAAGAUCUGUACAAAAAUGUGUGCAUUGGAUAACAGGGUUUAUGAGAAGAGCUUUUUCAAUGGGACAGUUAAGAACAACUUGAUAAUGGAAGUUCAAAACAGAAAAUUGUUGUUUUUAAAGCCUUUCAGACUUAUCUGAGAAGUUACAUAUGUCCAAAUCUAGCUGUCAGUCAUUGAUUUCAAAAAGUGCACAAAGUAAAAGGUAUGUCAGUGCAGUCAGGACGGGGCGGGCUCGGACAAAAAUUCAGCCCUGGCACUGUAGUCAUACCAGCCCACCCACGGACACGCUUAUUCACUACUUACAUUUGUGUACAGACGAAAAGCAGUACUGUAUGUAACAGAUAUUUAAAUAUUCAAUGUAUGUGACUGGCAAACAAUGCUUACUACUGUAAAGUUGAUUACAAACCCAAAGUACAUUUGUGUGUCACUGUUGUUUUUCCUACCUCUACCACACUCCUCCGUCUCUGCUAGGCCUACAGCGUCCUUCCUCAUAGCACUGGUCUCGGAAGACCAGGGGUCUCUGGCUGUUCACUACAAAUGUCUACAGUACUAUGGCUAUAGCUAUAGGUUUUUGACGUGUUGGGCUAUAUUGCAAGUAGCAGUAUGUCUAUUUACCCUAAAUCCCACCUUAUCUGCUGAUAUUUCAGUCAUGCGAUUCAGUAACAGGCUAGCUAACACUUGUAACCAAUUAUCACAAAGCAAUGACAUUUUAAAAUAUACGUGGUUUGUACACUAAGCUUACAAAUGCUUAAUACAAUGUAGGCUACUGUCAAAAAAAAACACUGGAGCUAAUUGGCAGAAGUAGCUGAAUAGCGUGAAAUUAACUUGAGCUAGCAAUAUUUUCUGUUUUCUUCUUACCUGGCACUACUGUCCUCCGCUGCAGCAGCCGAAUUUAAACCUUUUGAAAAGAGUUCAGUAAAUUUUACGCAUUUGGCACUUUUUUUUUCUUUAGUUUUUUUGCUUUCUCAAAAGUUUUUCUCCACCGCCUUUCCUUUUUUAAGGUCCUUUUCAUCUGUUUGUAGACUUCAGCUCUGCUUUUAACACCAUCAUCCCGGACACCCUUCAGAAUAAACUAACUUAGCUCUCUGUCCCCACCACCGUCUGACAACAACACACUGAUCGGCCUCAUCCAGGACGGUGACGAGUCUGCCUACAGACAGGAGGUUAAGGAGCUGGCUGUCUGGUGCAGUCUUAACAACCUGGAGCUUAACAUGCUCAAAACUGUGGAGAUGAUCGUGGACUUCAGGAGAAACCCCCCUGCACUCCCCCACUCACCAUCAUGAACAGCACUGUGACUGCAGUGGAGUCAUUCAGAUUCCUGGGCACCACCAUCUCUCAGGACCUGAAGUGGGACAAUCACAUUGACUCCAUUGUUAAAAAGGCCCAGCAGAGGUUGUACCUCCUUCGCCAGCUGAGGAAGUUCAACCUGCCACAGGAGCUGCUGAAACAGUUCUACUCCGCCAUCAUUGAAUCCGUCCUCUGCACUUAUCUGUCUGGUUCAGCUCAGCUACCAAAUCUAACCUCAGAAGACUACAGAGGGUAGUCCAGACUGCUGAGCGAAUCAUUGGUACAACCCUCCCCACUCUCCAAGAACUGUACUUAUCCAGAGUGAGCAAAAGGGCUAAGAAAAUCACUCUGGACCCCUCACAUCCAGCACACUCCCUCUUUUGAACUGUUGCCGUCUGGUCGACGCUACAGAGCUCUGAGAACCAGAACGACCAGACACAGGAACAGUUUCUUCCCUCAAGCAAUUCAUCUCAUGAACACUUGAUAUUAAACGUGGAACACACAACACUAUUAUAAAUUAUUUAUUCACCACACAUACUUAUUUUUUCAUUUCAAAUUUGCACAUAUCAGACCUGUACACGCAUAAUUGUCUAUAUUAUAUAUUGUUUUUUUGCUAUUUUGUACAUUGCCUAUCUGUAUAUUUGUUUAUUAUUCUUUUGUUAUCUGUGUCCUGUCGCUGUCAUUCUGUUGCACCGUGGAGCUUCUGUCACUUUAACAAAUUCCUCAUAUGUGUAAACAUACCUGGCCAAUAAAGCUCAUUCUGAUUCUGAUUCAUACUGGAAGCAUGUGUGCAGCAAAAUUCAAUUUGAAAUGUAAUAUUCAAAAUGGCAAUGUAUUUCUGUAUUUAAAUUUACAUUUUCCAUUACCCCACAUGUGCAAAGUUUGGUGCAGAAGGAAAAUGAAAAUGAAAUUAUAUUAUUUACAUUUGCCAUUUCCAACAGUUGUCUUAAUAUGUAAAGUGCCUACUAUUUUAACGCUUUAUAAGUUGCAAAAUUAAAAUGAAAA